rnacentral:tRNA from 1 species
GCGCGCUUAGCUCAGUUGGUAGAGCAACUGACUUUUAAUCAGUAGGUCACAGGUUCGAAUCCUGUAGCGCGUACCA